UGAGAAUACCAUUUUUGUACCUCCCAGAGUCUCUGUGCUGGCAGAUGAAGAAGUUGAGCAGAAUGUCGUGUAUAAUUAGAUCCUUGAACCCAUGACUGCUUCACCAGUGUUGCUUUGCACCAGACGCAAUCUGGGGAGAUCAGCAAGAAAAUUGCUUACACAUAUAUCCAGGUUAAAAGAUGGGCAGAAAAACUCUUCCGCCUCCAAAAAGACCAAUAAGAGAUUUCUUAAUUUAUAGCAAUCCACUGCCAAAAGUUACACUGUCUGCAUAACUGCGCAACAGGAUCUCAGUCAAUCAAUUUCAUUGAUUUUGCCCUGUGCAAAGCGACAUGACAAAUAUACACAUACAUCAAAGCUUUAUGAAGCCUAUUUUUCACUAGUGUCCAUUUCUCACUGGGUGUCUUUUUGAACUGCUUAUGGAAAUGCAUAAACAGCAGGCCGAGGCAAAGAGGCUGUCCCAAAAAUAUAUAUUUUUUAAUUUAACAAAAUGGAUUCAAAAGUAUUCAGUGAUUUCAGGAUUUCAAAAUAAAUAAAUAAAUAAAUAAAAAAUCCUGGAAGAA
rnacentral:lncRNA from 1 species